GAUGAACGCUGGCGGCGUGCCUAAUACAUGCAAGUCGAACGAGUUCUCGUUGAUGAUCGGUGCUUGCACCGAGAUUCAACAUGGAACGAGUGGCGGACGGGUGAGUAACACGUGGGUAACCUGCCCUUAGUGGGGGAUAACAUUUGGAAACAGAUGCUAAUACCGCAUAGAUCCAAGAACCGCAUGGUUCUUGGCUGAAAGAUGGCGUAAGCUAUCGCUUUUGGAUGGACCCGCGGCGUAUUAGCUAGUUGGUGAGGUAAUGGCUCACCAAGGCGAUGAUACGUAGCCGAACUGAGAGGUUGAUCGGCCACAUUGGGACUGAGACACGGCCCAAACUCCUACGGGAGGCAGCAGUAGGGAAUCUUCCACAAUGGACGCAAGUCUGAUGGAGCAACGCCGCGUGAGUGAAGAAGGCUUUCGGGUCGUAAAACUCUGUUGUUGGAGAAGAAUGGUCGGCAGAGUAACUGUUGUCGGCGUGACGGUAUCCAACCAGAAAGCCACGGCUAACUACGUGCCAGCAGCCGCGGCAAUACGUAGGUGGCAAGCGUUAUCCGGAUUUAUUGGGCGUAAAGCGAGCGCAGGCGGUUUUUUAAGUCUGAUGUGAAAGCCCUCGGCUUAACCGAGGAAGUGCAUCGGAAACUGGGAAACUUGAGUGCAGAAGAGGACAGUGGAACUCCAUGUGUAGCGGUGAAAUGCGUAGAUUAUAUGGAAGAACACCAGUGGCGAAGGCGGCUGUCUGGUCUGUAACUGACGCUGAGGCUCGAAAGCAUGGGUAGCGAACAGGAUUAGAUACCCUGGUAGUCCAUGCCGUAAACGAUGAAUGCUAGGUGUUGGAGGGUUUCCGCCCUUCAGUGCCGCAGCUAACGCAUUAAGCAUUCCGCCUGGGGAGUACGACCGCAAGGUUGAAACUCAAAGGAAUUGACGGGGGCCCGCACAAGCGGUGGAGCAUGUGGUUUAAUUCGAAGCAACGCGAAGAACCUUACCAGGUCUUGACAUCUUUUGAUCACCUGAGAGAUCAGGUUUCCCCUUCGGGGGCAAAAUGACAGGUGGUGCAUGGUUGUCGUCAGCUCGUGUCGUGAGAUGUUGGGUUAAGUCCCGCAACGAGCGCAACCCUUAUGACUAGUUGCCAGCAUUUAGUUGGGCACUCUAGUAAGACUGCCGGUGACAAACCGGAGGAAGGUGGGGAUGACGUCAAAUCAUCAUGCCCCUUAUGACCUGGGCUACACACGUGCUACAAUGGAUGGUACAACGAGUUGCGAGACCGCGAGGUCAAGCUAAUCUCUUAAAGCCAUUCUCAGUUCGGACUGUAGGCUGCAACUCGCCUACACGAAGUCGGAAUCGCUAGUAAUCGCGGAUCAGCACGCCGCGGUGAAUACGUUCCCGGGCCUUGUACACACCGCCCGUCACACCAUGAGAGUUUGUAACACCCGAAGCCGGUGGCGUAACCCUUUUAGGGAGCGAGCCGUCUAAGGUGGGACAAAUGAUUAGGGUGAAG
rnacentral:rRNA from 1 species